CCCGAAACUGUUUGACUAGAGACUCGGAGGGGUAAGCGGAAUUCCAGGUGUAGCGGUGAAAUGCGUAGAUAUCUGGAGGAACACCAACGGCGAAGGCAGCUUACUGGACGAGAUCUGACACUGAUGGACGAAAGCGUGGGGAGCGAAAGGGAUUAGAUACCCCUGUAGUCCACGCCGUAAACGUUGUGCACUCGCUAUGAGAGGAUUCGACCCCUUUCGUGGCUUAGCUAACGCGUUAAGUGCACCGCCUGAGGACUACGACCGCAAGGUUAAAACUCAAAGGAAUUGACGGGUCCCCGCACAAGCGGUGGAGCAUGUGGCUUAAUUCGAUGCAACGCGAAGAACCUUACCAGGCCUUGACAUGUAGUGGACCGGUCCAGAAAUGGACCUUCUCUUCGGAGCCGCUUCACAGGUGCUGCAUGGCCGUCGUCAGCUCGUGUCGUGAGAUGUUCGGUUAAGUCCGUCAACGAGCGCAACCCCUGUCCUUAGUUGCCAGCAUUCAGUUGGGGACUCUAAGGAGACUAACUUGUUUUACAAGUGGGAAGGUGGGGAUGACGUCAGGUCAGUAUGGCCCUUAUGGUCUGGGCUGCACACGUGCUACAAUGCCAAGUACAAUGGGUUGCUACCUCGCGAGAGGAUGCUAAUCUCCAAAGCUUGGCCCAGUUCGGAUUGGAGUCUGCAACUCGACUCCAUGAAGUUGGAAUCGCUAGUAAUGGCGCAUCAGCUACGGCGCCGUGAAUACGUUCCCGGGGAUUGUACACACCGCCCGUCACAUCAUGAAAGCCGGUUUUGCCCGAAGUACGUGAGCUAACUCGCAAGAGAGGCAGCGUCCUACGGUGAGGCUGGUGAUUGGGAUGAAGUCGUAACAAGGUAGCC
rnacentral:rRNA from 1 species